CAGUAUUACAAUAAUCAGAUUGCCCCAUCCCAUCAGAUCUCAGAAGCUAAGCAGGGCCGGGCCUAGUUAGUACUUGAAUGGGAGACUGCCCUGAGGUUGCACGAAUCAGUGUGGUCUUACUGU
rnacentral:rRNA from 12 species